UUGUGUAGUACGGUGGUCCUGUGAUUGUGUGAUUUUGAAUCAGUUUGAACCAGAUCUCUUAAGAGGUUUAGAAGCGGAUGGAAACGAUAAAGUGAAGAUCGAGUGCUCCGGCGAGGCGCGCUGUCGUGCAGCGGGUAUUUCAUAGCUCGGAUGGUUCCCAUGGCUGUGCCAGUGAAAAUCAUUCUCCCCGAGUGAGACAUCACUAUAGUGGUGUACGGAACAUCAUCAGAGUGAACUUCACGCAGGAUCUGAAACAGCAAGGAAGGAAGAAGAAGUUUCAUUUGUACACACUGCACCUGGCCCAGCGGAGCAUGCAAACCCUUUGGAAUAGGCGACGAUAGCGGAGACCCGGGCAUGAGAAAUGCUCCGGGCAU